CUUUGAAGGGUAAAUGAGCUGGGUCAGCACAUGACAAGGGCAGAAGGAGUUACUUUUAAAAGUGAACAGGAGGUGUGGUGAAACCAAAGUUGUUGUUUAUUCGAUAGCCGACAGCAGGAAACGGAUCCUCAAGCCAGUUCCGGUUACCGGGCUCCUCGGACUUGGAGAGGAACUAGAGUUGCACCUUGUUAUGCCAUCACUCAAGUGCAACUGAAGUUUCUGAUGUCCUGUGUUUUCAGUGUGGCAGAUAUUCUACGUGUCCCGAUCGACAGUCAAACUUUGACUAAGACACUUCAAUCUGUCACAUGUACUGUAUAUUCUGACAUGUCAGACUUGGCUCUGGAUGAAAAGAUGAAGGACUUGGUGGCAGGGAACGACAAACAUGGACCGGGGGCUGUUCAAGCACAUUUAAGGGCUCUGGGUGCAGAUACGCAGAGUGAGGGACAGCAUGCUUCGUGUUAACCCGAGGGUGGCUGCCCUCAAAGCCAUGUCGCAGAGGCUGCAUAGAAGAUCAUACCAUGUUGCUGGACCAAACUCGUUAUGGCACCUUGAUGGAAAUCACAAACUGAUAAGGUAGAUGUAUCUUUGUGAUAGACACAAUUAUCUAUAUCACUGGUGAGAAGUUGUACAUUGUAACAUCUCAAAUUGUUCAUCAAACAACUAACAGUUCAGUAAGCAAUGGCCCUUGAUACCAUAUGUCACUCAUGUGGAUAAUAAUUGUUUUAUUGUGUUUCUGCUAUUUCUGUGAUUGAUAGAAUAUCUGCAUCAUGAAAUUAACAAACAUGCUUAUAUUGAGGACGUCCGGAGGCUUAAACAGUUGGAGCAAAGUAUUUGUGCCUAAGUGUGAACAACAGGAAUGUGGUUAUUUUUCCAAUUGAAGUAGAUAUUGUAAUCACACAUCUUUCAGGAAAGGAAACAGUCUAGAACAAACCUUUGUUGUAGCCUUUAGAGGGCUAACGGAAGUACUUAUAGUUGUGAUCCGCGGUAGACUGUUUUAUUAACGUUGUUCCACAUUUUGGAUGUUAAUGUAAUAUUUGGUCUGCUGCUUAGUUAAAUACCACAGGAACCUGAUGCAUCAUCUAAGUGGUAAAGGAGGAUGGUGAUGUUUGUAUAUUUAAUGUGUCUUCAGCUUUUGUAUCAACCAGUACAUGGUGGCGUUGAUGGGUACAGCUGUCUUGUUGUUCCUCCGUGCUUCCAGCAACAAUCGCAGCAGUACUGUAAUGGAUUGCCUCAAGAAUGCUGUCUCCAGAAAUGGCGUUCCCUCCAGAGUUAGAACGGACCAUGGAGGAGAAAACAACACUGUCUCCAGAUAUGGCGUUCCCUCCAGUUAGAAUGGACCAUGGAGGAGAAAACAACACUGUCUCCAGAUAUGGCGUUCCCUCCAGAGUUAGAACGGACCAUGGAGGAGAAAACAACACUGUCUCCAGAUAUGGCGUUCCCUCCAGUUAGAACGGACCAUGGAGGAGAAAACAACACUGUCUCCAGAUAUGGCGUUCCCUCCAGUUAGAACGGACCAUGGAGGAGAAAACAACACUGUCUCCAGAAAUGGCGUUCCCUCCAGAGUUAGAACGGACCAUGGAGGAGAAAACAACACUGUCUCCAGAUAUGGCGUUCCCUCCAGUUAGAAUGGACCAUGGAGGAGAAAACAACACUGUCUCCAGAUAUGGCGUUCCCUCCAGAGUUAGAACGGACCAUGGAGGAGAAAACAACACUGUCUCCAGAUAUGGCGUUCCCUCCAGUUAGAACGGACCAUGGAGGAGAAAACAACACUGUCUCCAGAUAUGGCGUUCCCUCCAGUUAGAACGGACCAUGGAGGAGAAAACAACACUGUCUCCAGAAAUGGCGUUCCCUCCAGAGUUAGAACGGACCAUGGAGGAGAAAACAACACUGUCUCCAGAUAUGGCGUUCCCUCCAGUUAGAAUGGACCAUGGAGGAGAAAACAACACUGU